rnacentral:rRNA from 1 species
UGGGGAAUAUUGGGCAAUGGAGGGAACUCUGACCCAGCAACGCCGCGUGAAGGAAGAAGGUUUUCGGAUUGUAAACUUCUGUCGCGAGGGACGAAGAAUGACUGUACCUCGUAAGAAAGCCCCGGCUAACUACGUGCCAGCAGCCGCGGUAAUACGUAGGGGGCAAGCGUUGUCCGGAAUGACUGGGCGUAAAGGGAGUGUAGGCGGCACUAUAAGUUAGAUGUGAAAGCCCGCAGCUUAACUGCGGAACUGCAUCUAAAACUGUAGAGCUUGAGUGCAGGAGAGGUAAGUGGAAUUCCUAGUGUAGCGGUGGAAUGCGUAGAUAUUAGGAGGAACACCAGAGGCGAAGGCGACUUACUGGACUGUAACUGACGCUGAGGCUCGAAAGCGUGGGGAGCAAACAGG